GGAGGUUACAGCUCAGUGGUAGAGUGCCUGCCUAGCAUGUAUGAGGUCCUGGGUUCAAUCCCCAGUACCUCCA
rfam:Camelus ferus unplaced genomic scaffold scaffold313, whole genome shotgun sequence.